rnacentral:rRNA from 1 species
GUUAACGCUGGCGGUAGGCCUAACACAUGCAAGUCGAACGGCAGCACAGUAAGAUCUUGCUCUUACGGGUGGCGAGUGGCGGACGGGUGAGGAAUACAUCGGAAUCUACUUUUUCGUGGGGGAUAACGUAGGGAAACUUACGCUAAUACCUCAUACGACCUACGGGUGAAAGCAGUGGAUCUUCGGACCUUGCGCGAUUGAAUGAGCCGAUGUCGGAUUAGCUAGUUGGCGGGGUAAAGGCCCACCAAGGCGACGAUCCGUAGCUGGUCUGAGAGGAUGAUCAGCCACACUGGAACUGAGACACGGUCCAGACUCCUACGGGAGGCAGCAGUGGGGAAUAUUGGACAAUGGGCGCAAGCCUGAUCCAGCCAUACCGCGUGGGUGAAGAAGGCCUUCGGGUUGUAAAGCCCUUUUGUUGGGAAAGAAAAGCAGCAGGUUAAUACCCCGCUGUUCUGACGGUACCCAAAGAAUAAGCACCGGCUAACUUCGUG